GAAGUUAGCUCAGAAGAACAAACUAGGGGUGGGCGGAUCGAUCUAAAUAUCGAUAGUAUCGAUACCAACGCUGGUAUUGGUAUUUGAUCGAUACAACUGUAAUUGAAUCGAUAUUUUAAUUUAGAUA